AUUGAACGCUGGCGGCAGGCCUAACACAUGCAAGUCGAGCGAGCGGCGGACGUGUGAGUAGUGUAUGGGGAUCUGCCCGAUAGAGGGGGAUAACUACGGAAAACUGUGUCUAAUCCCACAUACUAUCGGAUGAACCCAUAUGGGUUUAGCUCGUAGGUGGGGUAAAGGCUCACCUAGGCGACGAUCUCUAGCUGGUCUGAGAGGAUGAUCAGCCACACUGUGACUGAGACAAGGCCCAGACUCCUACGGGAGGCAGCAGUGGGGAAUAUUGCACAAGGGGAGCAAGCCUGAUGCAGCCAUGCCGCGUGUAUGAAGAAGGCAUUAGGGUGGUAAAGUACUUUCAGCGGGGAGGCGUUACCCGCAGAAGAAGCACCGGCUAACUCCGUGCCAGCAGCCGCGGUAAUAC
rnacentral:rRNA from 1 species